UGUAAAAAAAUGUAUGAUGCAUGAAGAAUUUUGAUUUCUUUAGUUUCAGUUUAAAUCUGUAUUUUACAA
rnacentral:tRNA from 1 species